GACGAACGCUGGCGGCGUGCUUAACACAUGCAAGUCGAGCGAAGCGGCGGACGGGUGAGUAACACGUGAGUAACCUGCCUUAGACAUUGGGAUCGCCUCGGGAAACCGGGAUUAAUACCACAUGGUCUAAGAUGGACUCGCGUCCCAUUAGCUAGUUGGUGGGUAACGGGCCACCAAGGCGACGCGUGGUAGCCGGCCUGGGAGAGUGAACGAGCAUAUUAGAACUGAGAACCGGGCCAAACUCUACGGGAGGCAGCAGUGGGGAAUAUUGCACAAUGGAGGAAACUUGGAUGCCGCGACGCUGCAUGAACGAAGAAAGCGGUAGAGUCGUAAAGUUCUUUUAUAUGGGAAGCGGUACCAUAAGAGAAAGCCCCGGCUAACUACGUGCCAGCCGCCGCGGUAAUUC
rnacentral:rRNA from 1 species